rnacentral:lncRNA from 1 species
AGGGUCAUUACUCAAUGUCUUUGUGCAAGAAAAAGCCAUCCUUUCAUUCACAAAAGUUUUCAAAUCCUUCCGCUGCUGCAACCUCUGAAACUACAUCAGAAACUACACCAAACACAUCUACUAGUGAACUGGAAGCCUUGCUUAGAUAGGUUUUAUCUAAAACCAGUUCUCCCUCCACUGCAUUCUCUGUCAUUUCAGGUUUUAUCACAUCACAAAUAAUCCACACAUUUUUACCUCAAAAAUACAGAGCACAUGUCUUCCAAAUAUUCAGACUGCUGAUGGUUCCACCAUGAAUAUAACACAUAUCGGAACUGUAUCCACAUAAGAUUUAUCUCUACCAAACACAUACUAUGUUCCUAAUCUUUCCCUCAAUCUUAUUUAUUUCAAUUGGCCAAUUAUGUGAUCUUGGCCUGCAUAUAAUCUUUACUACUUCUGGUUGUCAUGUACAGGAUCCUCAGACAGGACAGACACUUGGGACAGGGCGUAGAUGUGGAAGGUUGUUUGAGCUCACUUACCUUCAUCUCCUCUCACUAACAUCAUCCUCUCAUCUAGCUGGAUCUGUUUC